rnacentral:rRNA from 1 species
UACGUAGGGUACAAGCGUUGUCCGGAAUUAUUGGGCGUAAAGAGCUCGUAGGUGGUCUGUCACGUCUGCUGUGGAAACGCAAGGCUCAACCUUGCGCGUGCAGUGGGUACGGGCGGACUAGAGUGCAGUAGGGGAGUCUGGAAUUCCUGGUGUAGCGGUGAAAUGCGCAGAUAUCAGGAGGAACACCGGUGGCGAAGGCGGGACUCUGGGCUGUAACUGACGCUGAGGAGCGAAAGCAUGGGGAGCGAACAGGAUUAGAUACCCGGGUAGUCC